rnacentral:rRNA from 1 species
GAUGAACGCUAGCGGCAGGCCUAACACAUGCAAGUCGAGGGGUAGAACACUUCGGUGUUUGAGACCGGCGCACGGGUGCGUAACGCGUAUGCAAUCUACCUUGUACAGGGGAAUAGCCCAGAGAAAUUUGGAUUAAUGCCCCAUAGUAUAUAACCUUCGCAUGUUGGUUAUAUUAAAGUUCCAACGGUACAAGAUGAGCAUGCGUCCCAUUAGUUAGUUGGUAAGGUAACGGCUUACCAAGACGAUGAUGGGUAGGGGUCCUGAGAGGGAGAUCCCCCACACUGGUACUGAGACACGGACCAGACUCCUACGGGAGGCAGCAGUGAGGAAUAUUGGUCAAUGGUCGCAAGACGGAACCAGCCAUGCCGCGUGCAGGAAGACGGUCCUAUGGAUUGUAAACUGCUUUUAUACAGGAAGAAACCCUCCCACGUGUGGGAGCUUGACGGUACUGUAGGAAUAAGGAUCGGCUAACUCCGU